UAUUGGACAAUGGGCGAAAGCCUGAUCCAGCAAUGCCGCGUGAGUGAUGAAGGCCCUAGGGUUGUAAAGCUCUUUUACCCGGGAAGAUAAUGACUGUACCGGGAGAAUAAGCCCCGGCUAACUCCGUGCCAGCAGCCGCGGUAAUACGGAGGGGGCUAGCGUUGUUCGGAAUUACUGGGCGUAAAGCGCACGUAGGCGGCUUUGUAAGUCAGAGGUGAAAGCCUGGAGCUCAACUCCAGAACUGCCUUUGAGACUGCAUCGCUUGAAUCCAGGAGAGGUCAGUGGAAUUCCGAGUGUAGAGGUGAAAUUCGUAGAUAUUCGGAAGAACACCAGUGGCGAAGGCGGCUGACUGGACUGGUAUGACGCUGAGUGCGAAA
rnacentral:rRNA from 1 species